CCAAGUUCCAACGCCUUCUCUU
rnacentral:sRNA from 1 species